rnacentral:rRNA from 1 species
GACGAACGCUGGCGGCGUGCUUAACACAUGCAAGUCGAGCGGUAAGGCCCUUUCGGGGGUACGACGAGCGGCGAACGGGUGAGUAACACGUGGGUGACCUGCCUUUAGCUCUGGGAUAAGCCUGGGAAACCGGGUCUAAUACCGGAUAUGACUCCGCGGCGCAUGUUGUGGGGUGGAAAGCCUUGUGCGGCUGGAGAUGGGCCCGCGGCCUAUCAGCUUGUUGGUGGGGUGAUGGCCUACCAAGGCGACGACGGGUAGCCGGCCUGAGAGGGCGACCGGCCACACUGGGACUGAGACACGGCCCAGACUCCUACGGGAGGCAGCAGUGGGGAAGUCUUGCGCAAUGGGCGGAAGCCUGACGCAGCGACGCCGCGUGAGGGAUGAC